UUUUAUUGCAGUUCUUCUCUUUUAUAUAGAUAUUGCAACAGAUACAAAUCUGGACACAUUUUAAAACCAAACGAUAGCUAUUCCAUGUUAAUAAAGUGUUCAUAUACAUUACUCUGUAUCUUGAAAAUCAAAUGACACUGGAAUAAAACAAUAAAAUAAAAGACCCAUUAUCAGUCACACCAGAAGAUGCUCGUUAUUUGUGAAAUCAUGUCAUCUGGUCUUUUAAAAUUGAAGCACCAUGCGAUGGCUCAGACAUUCUUCCCGCUAUAGGUUUGGAACAGAAUUGAAGGAGUCAUGAAUUGUUCAGUAGGAAGGUUUAGCCCAAACGAUAACUAUCGGUGCCAAACUGGUACAAAGAACUGAAAAGGAAAAAUAUUGACAUUUUACACAAUAAAACAAUGCAGUUGUUUCAUAGAGCAAUUGAUUUGAAACAACGGGGGGGAUGAAGUGAAAUGGCUAGUUUAGUCUCUAUUGAAAGGUUAUGACCACAUCAUUUGCCACUAGAUGGCCUCUUUAACCACAGAAAGAGAUCUUGAUGACAGCUCAUUGCAAUUAUAAAGAUCAUCGGUGACUCGUUACUUUCAUGUUCACUGUGAUCUUCACCAGGGCUUUGUGAAUCGGGCUGCAAACACACGGCUCACAAAAAAAACAACGACAUUUUCUUGCAACCCCUUUGACAAAUAUAAUUUCCAAAUAAAAAGUUGACAACGCUGAAUCCAAAGCAUUGCCAAACGCCAGCUGAGCGACCAGGGUUGUAAAAUCCCAGUAACUUUCCUCAAAUUCCCAGAAAUAAACAAGAAAUCUGGAAUCGUCCAAUCAGGAUUUCUGGAGGAAAUAUGGGACAUUUAAGUAAAGUUACCAAAAAAUUACAACCCUGUGAACAACAAAUGACAGUGUUUCUGUAUUUUCCUCCCCUUCAUGUGUAAACAAAGUUAGCAGGGGAACCCUCGUCAUCAAAGUUAGCAGGGGAACCCUCGUCAUCAAAGUUAGCAGGGGAACCCUCGGGAACCCUCGUAAUCAAAGUUAGCAGGGGAACCCUCGUAAUCAAAGUUAGCAGGGGGAACCCUCGUAAUCAAAGUUAGCAGGGGAACCCUCGUCAGGAC
ensembl:lncRNA